AUUGAACGCUGGCGGCAGGCCUAACACAUGCAAGUCGAACGGUAACAGAAAGAAGCUUGCUUCUUUGCUGACGAGUGGCGGACGGGUGAGUAAUGUCUGGGAAAAUGCAUGAUGGAGGGGGAUAACUACUGGAAACGGUAGCUCAUACCGCAUAACGUCGCAAGACCAAAGAGGGGGACCUUCGGGCCUCUUGCCAUCGGAUGUGCGCAGAUGGGAUUAGCUAGUAGGUGGGGUAACGGCUCACCUAGGCGACGAUCCCUAGCUGGUCUGAGAGGAUGACCAGCCACACUGGAACUGAGACACGGUCCAGACUCCUACGGGAGGCAGCAGUGGGGAAUAUUGCACAAUGGGCGCAAGCCUGAUGCAGCCAUGCCGCGUGUGUGAAGAAGGCCUUCGGGUUGUAAAGUACUUUUAGCGGGGAGGAAGGGAAGAAGGUUAAUACCUCGGCGCAUUGACGUUACCCGAAGAAGAAGCACCGGCUAACUCCGUG
rnacentral:rRNA from 1 species